UACAGAGGGUGCAAGCGUUAAUCGGAAUUACUGGGCGUAAAGCGUGCGCAGGCGGUUUUGCAAGACAGAUGUGAAAUCCCCGGGCUUAACCUGGGAAUUGCAUUUGUGACUGCAUGGCUAGAGUGCGGCAGAGGGGGGUGGAAUUCCGCGUGUAGCAGUGAAAUGCGUAGAUAUGUGGAGGAAUACCGAUGGCGAAGGCAGCCCCCUGGGAUAGCACUGACGCUCAUGCACGAAAGCGUGGGGAGCAAACAGG
rnacentral:rRNA from 1 species